rnacentral:lncRNA from 1 species
CCCAGUCCAAAAGGAAGACAUAGCCCUGAUGCAGAUCGUCCAAAUAUGUCAGCAGAGGGGACCGUUCCAAAGGGAAGACAUAGCCCUGAUGCAGAUCGUCCAAACAGUAAGAUAACCAACCUCACUUUAAUUUGAAUGGGAUUUAGCAAUUGUUAUGUGAUAA